CACUUAGUUUAACACCUGGGCGAAGGUGCAGAGCCCGGGUGCGAGUCUUUACAGAUCCAGGGAGAGCCUGCGCUCGCGGAGCGCGGGCCGCUGAAUUGCACCGGAUCUCCUCUCUGGAACCCUCCCCCAGGGCAGCCUCCUUACAGCUGGGUUAAUUUCUGUGUGAUUUUUAAGCUGUGGGGGCUGGAGGAGGGUUGAUUUCGAGCAGCAGAAUUCACUUGUCUACUUCGCGCUUGUGCAUGUUGGAAUUGUGAUCCUAUUCGGCGUGUGUGCGACUCUCCUGGCACGCGGAUUCGAAGUGGUAGAUGAAGCAGAGGUUUGGGAAUUGCAUCCAUAUGGACAGAUUUCAAAACGCAAACAUUCGUUUGUCUGUAAGUGCUAUUUGAACCUGUCCGAUGGCUGUGAGGAUAUGCUUUCUUCCCGGUGUCCGUGUUUGCAGUGUAAAACGACGGCUGUCCUUAGGAGGUCUGAACAGUGA
rnacentral:lncRNA from 1 species